rnacentral:rRNA from 1 species
GAGGUUCGCCGGGCAGCAUCAGAGAUGGUGCCCCCCUUGUGGUCGGUGUACAGGUGGUGCAUGGCUGUCGUCAGCUCGUGUCGUGAGAUGUUGGGUUAAGUCCCGCAACGAGCGCAACCCUUGUUCUGUGUUGCCAGCAUGCCCUUCGGGGUGAUGGGGACUCACAGGAGACUGCCGGGGUCAACUCGGAGGAAGGUGGGGACGACGUCAAGUCAUCAUGCCCCUUAUGUCUUGGGCUGCACACGUGCUACAAUGGCCGGUACAAUGAGCUGCGAUGCCGUGAGGCGGAGCGAAUCUCAAAAAGCCGGUCUCAGUUCGGAUUGGGGUCUGCAACUCGACCCCAUGAAGUCGGAGUUGCUAGUAAUCGCAGAUCAGCAUUGCUGCGGUGAAUACGUUCCCGGGCCUUGUACACACCGAAU